UUCAACAAAUAAUUGUUUUUGUGUUUAUCCGAUUUUUCAAACAAAAUGGCGAAAGAAGUCCCUGAAAAUAAAAAUGAGUUUUGACUCCGCACAGUUUCAUAUUUAUAUUUCAUAUUUAUUUUUAAAAAAUAUGAAAUAUAUUUGACUGAUAUAGCACCAUAUUUCAUGGGUAAAAUUAAGAAAUACCAAUUAUAAUAUUGAUAAAGGGAUCGAACAACGUGCUACAAAGACGGAGUAUGUAAAUUUAAUAUUCGUUUGAUUUAUACACAUUUAUUCUGUAAAUCUAGAAGUUUAUUGUUUGUAUGCAUACAAUUACAACAUUUUCAUAUUUGAUGACCCAGUCACAUUCUUAGUAUGGCAAUUAGUACAAUUAAUGUCUUGAUUUUCUGUAAACAAGAUAGUCAUGGUAUGUUCUUAGAUAGAGUGGAUUGUACUUAGCGUAUUUAAAUGAUUGAAUUUAAACUUCAAACAUGUGUUCUUUAUCAUCAACUCUAUGUGACAAUGUUGUUUUUUAACUCUAGCACCAUUUUUUCCAGGAUUAUCUCCCCAUGAACUUUUUUUUUACAUGUACUUACUUUUUUUUAUUUCUUAAGGUAUCUACUUCUAACUUCAAAUAUAAUUCUUUAUCAUGUGUGAUAAGAUUCAUAACUGAAGCAUGAAUAUUUCCAGGAUUAUGUCCCCCAUUAAACUUUUUGUUUAAAUAAAAAUUGAUAUUUGAUAACUUUAAACAAUAACAUGGCAAGCUUCAUAACUCUAGCAUCAAUAUUUUCAGAAUCAUCAUCCCUUUAUACUCAGAAUUUUCCUUUUUAAAUUCAGACUUCAACAAGAGCUUUCACACACGUGACGAAUGCCCCCGAAAAGAUUUCUUAAGCACGCAGGACUGGUAGUAUGAAAAGAAAAGAUGAUGAAAGUAACUAAUUGCAUAAUAUAUUUCUUUUUAUUAUUGUACCUAUAAUCUCUAAUUAUGAUAGCGUGAACCUCCAAAAUAUAAGUGUGACCUUGACCUUUGAAGAAGGGACGUGGUUCCUGGACACGACAGAAUGUUGUCAUGAGACAGACAUUUGUGCCAAGUUAUUUCAAAAUCCCUCAAUGCUUGACAAAGUUACAUACUGGACAUGAUUGUUGUGUAAGUGGGACACACGGACGGACAGUCGGACAUGAACCUUAGCUGCGAUGCAUCGUCCUGAUAUGGUAGACAUUAAAAAUGUGCCAAGUAAUUAUAAAAUCUUUCCAUGCAUGACAAAGUUACAGUCCGGACAUGAAUGUGUAUCUUUAAACUCUUCUCGAGAGAAUGAGUACCUUCAAACUAUAAGUAUGACCUUGACCUUGAAGGUAGGGACAUGGGUCUUAGUCGCGACAUGUCGUCUUGAUGUGGAAGAUAUUUAUGCCUAGUUAUUUUGUAAUCCUUCAAUGUAUGACAAAGUUACAGUCAGGACACGAAUGUGUGUAACUAUAAACUCUAAUUUUGAUAUAGUGAAAUUCAAAAUGGUAGUCUGACCUUGACCUUUGAGGUAGGGGCGUGAUAAGUGGACACGACACAUCGUCUUGAUGUGGUAGACAUUAAUGCCAAAAUAUUCUAAAAUUCUUCCAUGCAUGACAAAGGUACAUUCCGAACACAAAUGUGUGAAUCUAUACACUUUUAUUGUGAUAAAGUGAAACUUCAAAAUGUUAGUGUGACAUUGACCUCUGAGGUAGGGACGUAAUUCUUGGACGCGACACAUCGUCUUGAUGUGGUAGACAUUAAUGCCUAGUUAUUUUAAUAUCAUUCCAUGCAUGACAAAGUCAUAGUCCGGACACGAAUGAAGUGGGGACGCACAGACAGACGGAUGUCCAGACAGACAGCGGACGGUGCGUUUUUAAUAUGCCUCCCUUCGGCGGCAAAAAAAUCUUUCUUAUCAACACCUAUAUCAGGUGCAAUUAGAUUUAUAACUCAAGUCCUGUAUUUCUAGAAUUAUCUCCAUUUCAUUUUUGAACUAGAGAUUUAUUGAAAAUUAAUAUAUUUCUAGAAAUUAUCUUUGUUAUUAUAAAAUUUUAAUGACAUCAACUCUAGACUUAAGAUAAUUGUCCUUUGUCAUUAACUAACAUCACGUGACAAGGUUCAUAACUCUGGCAUCCUUAUUUCAAGAGAUAUUUCCCCUUUGAACUUAGAAUUUUACUUUAAACACUUUAUUUACUUUUUGCUUGUAUCAUUUUGGUACCUUUUUUUAAAAAAAAUCACAUUCAUCUCUUUUCCUACUAAAUUGAAUGAUAAGCUUCAAUAAUGCUUUAAAUCAAUUAUAAUUAUUACUAAACAUUAUUUUGCUCCUUCUGAAAAAAAAGAGAAAAAUAAUGUAAAUCACUGAGGUAUGAUAUGCCUUUAAUAUAAAAGUAAUUUACACAAGUAUUUUCAUUGUGAGUUGUUGUAAGUGAUUAAAAACCUUUUUUUAAUGUAAUCCAUUUUUUUGUUCUUAACUAUUAUUAAAAAUUGUAUGUAACUCUUUACACUAAAAAGUUAAAUCUUUAGUUUUUCCUUACAUCUAAAAUGUUCUCUAUGUCUUCCAGCUUAAAACUAUACAUUCUUGAAACAUGAUAGGAUCAUAAAACAUUCAAGGGUGCUGCUAUCAGUAAUACAGUGACAAGCCGUGUAAUUAUUCACUGACCAGAGAUAGGAAAUUUUGGGGGAAAAAGUUUAUGUGUAGGACUAUGUAGUAGAAGAGAGAUUCACCACAGGCUGUUUCGGUUGAAAUAGAAAAUAGUCUGAAGGAAAAGUACAUACGUGUUGUGUAAAAUUUAAAGUGUCAGUGUGUACUAAAAUAGUGUAACAGAACACUGAAUUACUGAUUCGAACUAAUAAGCUAAACAUAACAAACAAUGAAACAUGGCUAUCAGAAGUACAUGACGGUGAUCGAUUAGUGCUUGGGAAAUUGUUAAUUAAUCAGAUUAGAGAAGAAAAGAAAAUAUUGUGAUUUGAUAUUCAACAAAUCAAUAAGACGUAUACUGGAUUUAAUAUAAAACGGCGUCAAAUAAGGAAUAACAAUAAAAUACGGAUAAAAAAUGGUUGUUUAGAAAAGUGAUGCAUCGGAACAAUCGCAAACAUUUUGAAUGCGCGAUGAAAACAUCAGACAUAGACAUUUAACAUUGAAGUUGCUGAAGUGAUAUUGGUAUUCUCAGUUCAUCAUGUUUCAACUAUCGUUUUAUUUUUGUUUUAUUUUUGUUUUUCUUUACAGAAUGAAACUCAUUAUUUGAUUCCGCAAAAAUAUAUUCAGAAAAAUGUAUGAAUAUUAUGUUUUGCACUGUCAUUGCUUUGUGUUUUGUGUAAUAUAAUAUUACCCAUAUCUGGUUUUUUCAUAAUCUUUUGGAUUUACAAUUAAAGGCACACCAUGCCUCAAACAUGAGGUUAGUUUCAUUUCUCAAAAACGUUUUUUAAGUUUCAAAGUUGGUAUCCUGUUACAGUUUCUUAAAAGUGGUACGAUCUCAUGUUCUAUAUACUAAUUUUGCGAUUGACAUAAUUAGUGUAAAUACGUUUUUCGUGUAGAAGUCAAAAUACUACCUAGAUUACAUUUUGCUACCUUUACGAAAUAUUACUGAACAUUCAGCGAUACUUUCCUCAUCUGUUAAACACCUUACAUCCUCUAAAUCGUUGAUUAUACAUGUUUGACAUUUCUAAACAUUUUAAUUAUUAUGGAUUUCUGCGACAGAUUGUGCCUUUAACCUUUUUAACAUUUUGGUACUAGCUUUUAUCAUCCAAUAGCUUUCUUUGAUACACAUCUAUUUCUUAUUAUGUUUAUUAUCUUUAUUAUAUUGAAAUUGAUUUUUAUUUUUGUGUUUGAUUUUCGAUAAUCAGUUAGAAAAAUAGAUAUGAGAUCAGAAUUCUCCAAAAAUAAUGUUAGUUAUUUUUAUUAUAUUCCAUGAAUGUUCAGUAACGUCAAAUUUGCCUUAAUUUUCGUUUGUUGCAGUAAUAAUGUAUAAAAUUGUAUGAUAAAACAUAAAACUAUAAGCCCUUUAUAUGCAUAAAUGUUAUUGCAAGUUAAUUUUUUUCUUCAAAAAAAUGAAGGAACAACACCAACAACAAUAAAAUAGAAAAAAAGAAAAACAACAGUGAAAAAACGAAAAGAAACAUAUCAUUGAAAAUACUUAUGAAUAUAAAAGCAACUUCGUUUACCACGGCCGAACAGUUUUGAGAUACUUUUGUUUUUUGAUGAAAAAAUACUUUCAUUUUCAGUUAUGUAUUCAUAUUGUCUCUUUUGAUUGUAUUUAUUUAAGUUUAACUGAACUAAUAAUAUUUAUCAUAAGGUAAACAUUAUAUAUUAUAUUAUAUUAUUACUAUUUUUAAAAACGCAUUUAUUGUUUUAAAGAAAUGCCUAAAGUUGAUGUAGAACUUCUUACAAAUUGUGUAACUAAUCAACACAAUGUUUAACUUGUAUUAUUUCCGCGUUAUGCGGUUGGACUAUUAGUGCUUCAGUGUAUUUAUUGACUACUAGCGAAAUGAUUAAUGUGGAAUCGACUGUCAGUAAAAUGGACAUUUGUUUACAACUAGAGUCUGUACGAUAGCUUAAAAGAUUUACUACUUCUUUGAGUAAAGAUAUUUUAGAACAUUGAAUUGGCACUUUUGGAACAUACAUGCAUAACAAACAGUUAUAUGUUAUUUGUCCGCAUAAACUUGGCUAUUAUUUCAAAAGAAUUAACAGAUGAAGAUGUGUCAAUAUAUAACCACAAAAAUAUAACUUUGGU